UACGAGAGGUCCAAACGUUAUUCGGAAUUACUGGGCUUACAGAGUUCGUAGGCGGCUCUACAAGUGAGGUGUGAAAUCCCCCGGCUCAACUGGGGAACUGCACGGGAAACAGCAGGGCUUGAGUUCGGGAGAGGGAAGCGGAAUUCCGGGUGUAGCGGUGAAAUGCGUAGAUAUCUGGAGGAACACCGGUGGCGAAGGCGGCAUCCUGGACCGGCAUUGACGCUGAGGCGCGAAAGCGUGGGGAGCAAACAGGG
rnacentral:rRNA from 1 species